rnacentral:rRNA from 1 species
GACGAACGCUGGCGGCGUGCUUAACACAUGCAAGUCGAACGGAAAGGCCCCUUUGGGGGUACUCGAGUGGCGAACGGGUGAGUAACACGUGAGUAACCUGCCCUUGACUUCGGGAUAACUUCAGGAAACUGGGGCUAAUACCGGAUAGGAAUCCUUGCUGCAUGGUGGGGGUUGGAAAGCUUCGGCGGUUUUGGACGGACUCACGGCUUAUCAGCUUGUUGGUGGGGUAGUGGCUUACCAAGGCUUUGACGGGUAGCCGGCCUGAGAGGGCGACCGGCCACAUUGGGACUGAGAUACGGCCCAGACUCCUACGGGAGGCAGCAGUGGGGAAUAUUGCACAAUGGGCGGAAGCCUGAUGCAGCAACGCCGCGUGCGGGAUGACGGCCUUCGGGUUGUAAACCGCUUUCAGCAGGGGCGAAGCUUGUGGUGACGGUACCUGCAGAAGAAGCACCGGCUAACUACGUG